AUUGAACGCUGGCGGCAGGCCUAACACAUGCAAGUCGAGCGAGCGGCGGACGGGUGCGUAAUGUAUGGGGACUGCCCGAUAGAGGGGGAUAACUACUGGAAACGGUAGCUAAUACCGCAUACUAUCGGAUAACCCAUAUGGGAUGAGGUAGUAGGUGGGGUAAAGGCUCACCUAGGCGACGAUCUCUAGCUGGUCUGAGAGGAUGAUCAGCCGAACUGGGAAUGAGACCCGGCCAAGACUCAUACGGAGGCAGCAUGGGGGAAUAUUGUACAAUGGGCGAAAGCGUGAUGCAGCCAGGCGGCGUGUAUGAAGAAGGCCUUAGGGUUGUAAAGGACUUUGAGCGGGGAGGCGGUACCUGCAGAAGAAGCACCGGCUAACUCCGUGCCAGCAGCCGCGGUAAUAC
rnacentral:rRNA from 1 species